UUCACCUGGAUUCACCUGACCAGUCUGUCAUGGAAGUAGGUGUUCCUAAUGUAUUGUACAUUCAGUGUAUACAUACAUACCGUGUGUGUACAUUAUAUGGCAUGUCUGUUUUCAUCGUCAACAUUGAGAUACUAGUCAGCUUAUCAAAAAUACUUUUUUUCAGUAUGUAUAUCCAGUAAUGUCUCCCUAACUCCCUUUUCAAGCAUUAUGGUGUAAUUUUGGUUUUCAGCAAAAGAAGUAGGCCUAUGCCACAUCCUCUUCCUCAUGAUGUGUCAUCAUUAAAUUCCAGAGCUCAUUGAUGUACAUUUUAACCAUUUCUUUUUCCCAGUGAUGUUGUGAAGUGGUUAAUUUGCUUUCUUGUAUUCCAGAGCAGGAUGUUAUGGAACAGACUGUGUGUAUUGUCCUGAGGAGCUGUGUGAAUGGGCACAGUGUGACACCGAAGGACUUAAUCUCCCCUCUACACUUUCAGGAACCUCUUCCCACUGCAUUCAGUAUGCUGCACCCUCUGGAUGAGAGUGGUGUGCAGACCUACAGGUCUGUUCGAGGCUGCCUGUGUGCAAUACGUCUCUGACAGCACCAUGAAAAUCGUCUUCUUCAACUGCAAGCCCUCCAUAGUUAUAUGACACCGUGCAGGGCAUACACUCAGUCACUCCAGAUCUUUCUGACUACACAACUGAAGAACGUCUCCAGGAUGGAUUCACUCGGCUCACUCUUCCAUUGCCACGCCCUGCAUAACCAAAACAGGAUGACCUCAUCACCAGGCCUCCACUCGUGUACUUACUCACCCAACAUCUCCAGCAUGGCUGCACUCAGCUGGUUCCACUCCCCUGGCAUGGCUGCACACUCCUUGGCAAUGGUGCAGUUUAACAUGUGGUACCACUCAUGUCCCCCAGAGGGCACAGCUUCCUGCCCUCGCCCAACAGCACUGCCAACGAGUCUGCUUGUCCCAGAGAUGAAGCCCAUGGUGCCUGAUCUAUGCAUUGAGCAGCUGUGGAGUGAGACUGCCUCCUCCCACAGGCCAGUGUCCGACAUUCACCUCUGCACAACUGGCUACAGUGGUGUCAUGGAUCCUGCUCUGUGGCCUAGUGGGUGGCAGUGCUCUCUCCUGUAUCAGAGCUGAGGGGCUCUACCAAGCACCACGGGCCCUCCUGUCUGGGUGACUACAUYUUCCAAGUCUGUACCCUACAUCCACACCCUCGGAGACCCCUUCAGCAGCAGUGUCACCCUGCGCCAUUUUGAAGUGCCCCUCUCCAGUGGUUGCACCAAAGAAGGCCCGGACGUCCGACACGGGGUCGAAGGAGAUGGGUAUGGUUUACCAGAAAGCUGAAGAAGAUACGCACAUCCAGAUACUUUUUGCAGGUGCUGGAGUUGUAGGUGAAUUUGUGAAAAGUUUAAAAGAAAACACCCCAUAGGCCAUGCUGUACGUGGAAGUCGUUAAUGCCACCAGUUCCUGUGACUUUCAAGCUCUGAAUCCAGACAGACUAAAAGAAGCCCUGUAUGUGCUGAAGAURGAUGAGGAGCGGAUGGGCGAUCACUGCUGGGCCUCCUGCAACAGCUGGCCAGCCUAGAUGCUGCGUCCGUGCUUCCUGAGAGCGGAGCCUCCGUGUGUUCAGCUGGCUCAGCAGCUGUCUGAAGGAUGAGGAGGUAGCACCUACCUGCCCGGCAUCUGUGAGAGGACCAAACUACUGGUGCUGCUACGCCCUGUACAUGAUUGGAAAUGGCAAUGCCACUUCAGUUGAUGUUUCGAAGUAUCUAGCCAAGCUCUCCAGGCCAGAAGAAAACUAAUUGCAGCAGCUUUGAGGAGACAUAGCAGUAUGAAGCCUGACGCUCCAAAUGAAAGUUUGSCUGAAAAGCUUGUUGUUUGGCUAACAUCAGCAGGUUUCACAUUGAAAGACCUGGAAUCCAUGCUCUUUGGUGUGGCUCUGCCCAUCAGAUGCCAUCUACCAGUGUCGAGAGCAACCCUGCUCUGACUGGUCAGAGGUUGUCUGCCUGUUGAUUGGGCGAAAGGACCUCACCAAGAAAGCACACAAAGUUACCGUGGCCAAAGGCAAAGCUGUAUGUUGUGUGUGUGCGGUCCGGGGCUGAUGCUAGAGGCUCCAGCCACCACAGAGGCAGACGAUAAGGAGGUUGGUAUGAGUGAUCUGAACCAGGACGUGAUAGGUCUCAUCUGGGGCCAGGAGCUGCAUAUCCAGGAGGCCAGACAUCUCCUCCAGAGCUCCCGACCAGUCAGGCUCAGCGAGGUCCACCUGGCCGAGACUGCUGCAGCUGUGCCAGCGUUCCAUGGCUCUGCCAGUGGGCAGAGGCCUGUUGACUCUCUUCUCCUACCACCCUGUGUCAACAGAGCCCCUACCUGUGCCUAAACUCAACCUUACUGAUCUGAACAGCGGGAACAUUGACCUUCCUCCCAACAUGACGAGCUGGUCCAGCUUUCACAACGGGUUGGCUGCAGGCCUGAAUAUCGCCCCGGGCCUCCCAGGUGGACUCUGCCUGCAUUGAUCAGGCUAACGAGUACACAGGCUUCAUGUCUCUGGGCCUCAACGGACACCUCAGCAAGCUGGCCACACUCAACAUACAUGACUUCUUCACCGAGCCCUACAGUCACUCAUUCAAGUCAUAAUCUCUCUGUUAUUAAACAAGUGAACCACGCUGAGUAGGAAGUCCAUGGAGGACUAAUUAAAAUGGCUGCCAUGACAUGACGAGCAUCGGGCUGCUACUGGGUGUGUCUGCAGCCAAGCUGAGAAACAUGGACGUGUCAAUCACCCACCUGCAGAGCAUCCACAUUCCCGCACUGCUCCCACCCACCUCCACUGAGCUAGACGUACCGCACAACGUGCAGGUGGCGGCUGUGCUGGGCAUCGGCCUGGUCUUCCAGGACACGGGCCACCGCCACAACGCAGAGGUGUGAUCGGUGGACUCCCCCUGGUCCUGAGAUGAAGUACUGCACAGACAGAGAGCCCUACUCCUUGGGCUGGCCCUGGGUAUGGUCUGGCUGGAGUUGCUGUGAGCGCUGCUGUCUGUCCCGGGGUCCUGCCAGAUUCCGCAUAGGGGAAGAGACACGGAAGCCCAGCUAGCCUAGCUGGCUCGGUGGUCUCAAAUGGAGGUCGCUAUUAAACGUUUCCAGCACUGCAGGAGCUGUGUUUACUUUGCUUUGUUCCGGGACAAUGUGGACCGCGCUGACUUUUAAUGUAGCAACUGCUUUCUUGCGGAGGACUACAGGGUCAAAGUGGAUACUCUUAGCAAGCAGGUAGCAAACCUACACAAGCUGCUGGGGAAUCCACGCGCCGGUCUGGUGGAAGUGUCGCCGCCGUGUCGGCUCUCCACAGCCGACUGGCCGGUGCUCAGCAGGGAUCCAUCCCUGAAGGGGCCUCCCCCAUCCCUGGAGAACGGAGCUGUUCUCAACCCAACAAACCAGCCAUGGAGGGACGUCACUCGCCGUGGAAGUCAAAGAAAGCAUCCUCUGGCAACAGGGGUUUCCAUGGAGAUAUUAAGCCUGGACCUGACACAGACCAGAAAUKACUUUGCCGCCCUGGAUCCAGAGGUUCCGGCGCCUUCUUCCUUAGGGGCUUCCCAUUCAAGAUCGGAUCCGGAGGUACCUGCGUCUUCAUCUCCUGUUCUGUCUCCCUCUCCGGUGGCUUCUACCUCUGGUUCAGAUCCCUAGAGCUCCCACAAUCAACAGCCCGUGAGGCUGCCUGGUAGACUGGCCCAUUCAACAUCACCAGCUGUCAUCAUAGGCAGCUCUAUGGUGAGAAACAUCUCGGUCACCAAGGCAAAAACCCUGUGCUACCCAAGAGCACGAGUGCAGGACAUCACAAGGCUGCUUCCAACUGGUCUACCACAGAAUGCGGGAGCUGACGCUGUCGUAGUCCAUGUGGGGUCAAACGACAUCAGAAGGGCUAGCUCGGAACAUUUGAAAAUGGAUUUUAAAGA